rnacentral:siRNA from 1 species
UGAAGAUAUCGUUGACCAACCGU